AUGAAAAGUAACCGCGUAAUGUCUGUUGGUGCAAGGGCACAGAAGAAGGCUGAGCGUGAGCAGAUCUUGCAUCAACAAUUCGAAGAGAAACGAAAGGAGCAGGUAUUGAAAUAUAUAGGCUCAAACAUUCAUAUGAAGAAUAUAGAUGACACUGUAAGUGAUGAAGGACCGCGGGAUCAUUUUUGUGCAUGCGGCACUAUAACUUCUGCAAAAGUUAUGCGAGAUGACAAAGGGAUAAGCAAAGGAUUUGGUUUUGUGUGCUUUUCCUACACGAUACAUGUUUCAGAGUAG